rnacentral:pre_miRNA from 1 species
AUUUUUGUGUCAAAAUGGCGGUUUCGAAAUAAAAAUUUUAUUUCGAAACCGCCAUUUUGACACAAAAAU